rnacentral:rRNA from 1 species
AACGAACGCUGGCGGCAUGCCUAACACAUGCAAGUCGAACGAGACCUUCGGGUCUAGUGGCGCACGGGUGCGUAACGCGUGGGAACCUGCCCUUAGGUUCGGAAUAACUCCCCGAAAGGGGUGCUAAUACCGGAUAAUGUCUUCGGACCAAAGAUUUAUCGCCUUUGGAUGGGCCCGCGUUGGAUUAGCUAGUUGGUAGGGUAAAAGCCUACCAAGGCGACGUUCCAUAGCUGGUCUGAGAGGAUGAUCAGCCGCACUGGGACUGCGACACGGCCCAGACUCCUACGGAAGGCAGCAGUAGGGAAUAUUGGACAAGGAGCGAAAGCCUGAUCCAGCAAUGCCGCGUGAGUGAUCAAGGCCUUAGGGUUGUAAAGCUCUUUUACCCGAGAUGAUAAUGACAGUACCGGGAGAAUAAGCUCCGGCUAACUCCGUG